UACGUAGGGUGCAAGCGUUGUCCGGAAUUAUUGGGCGUAAAGAGCUCGUAGGCGGUUUGUCGCGUCUGCCGUGAAAGGUCCGGGGCUCAACUCCGGAUCUGCGGUGGGUACGGGCAGACUAGAGUGAUGUAGGGGAGACUGGAAUUCCUGGUGUAGCGGUGAAAUUCGUAGAUAUUGGGAAGAACACCGGUGGCGAAGGCGGCGCUCUGGACCGAGACUGACGCUGAGGCGCGAAAGCGUGGGGAGCAAACAGGG
rnacentral:rRNA from 1 species